rnacentral:rRNA from 24 species
UUAAAUUGAAGAGUUUGAUCAUGGCUCAGAUUGAACGCUGGCGGCAGGCCUAACACAUGCAAGUCGAACGGUAACAGGAAGCAGCUUGCUGCUUUGCUGACGAGUG